AGACCCGAAACCCGGUGAUCUAGCCAUGGGCAGGUUGAAGGUUGGGUAACACUAACUGGAGGACCGAACCGACUAAUGUUGAAAAAUUAGCGGAUGACCUGUGGCUGGGGGUGAAAGGCCAAUCAAACCGGGAGAUAGCUGGUUCUCCCCGAAAGCUAUUUAGGUAGCGCCUCGUGAAUUCAUCUCCGGGGGUAGAGCACUGUUUCGGCUAGGGGGCCAUCCCGGCUUACCAACCCGAUGCAAACUGCGAAUACCGGAGAAUGUUAUCACGGGAGACACACGGCGGGUGCUAACGUCCGUCGUGAAGAGGGAAACAACCCAGACCGCCAGCUAAGGUCCCAAAGUCAUGGUUAAGUGGGAAACGAUGUGGGAAGGCCCAGACAGCCAGGAUGUUGGCUUAGAAGCAGCCAUCAUUUAAAGAAAGCGUAAUAGCUCACUGGUCGAGUCGGCCUGCGCGGAAGAUGUAACGGGGCUAAACCAUGCACCGAAGCUGCGGCAGCGACGCUGAUGCGUUGUUGGGUAGGGGAGCGUUCUGUAAGCCUGUGAAGGUGGCCUGUGAGGGUUGCUG
rnacentral:rRNA from 1 species